CCGGCACGGGUGGAGUAACACGUAUGCAAUCCACCCUGUAACAGGGGGGAGUAACCCGGAGAAAUCGGACUAAUACCCCAUAAUAUGGGCGCUCCGCAUGGAGAGCCCAUUAAAGAGAGCAAUUUUGGUUACAGACGAGCAUGCGCUCCAUUAGCCAGUUGGCGGGGUAACGGCCCACCAAAGCGACGAUGGAUAGGGGUUCUGAGAGGAAGGUCCCCCACAUUGGAACUGAGACACGGUCCAA
rnacentral:rRNA from 1 species